GGUACUAGAGUGUAGUGGUUAGUGCUCUGGACUCUGAAUCCAGAGACCUUGAUUCAAAACUUGUUUGGUCCUU